CUAGCUACAGGCUUAACACAUGCAAGUCGAGGGGCAGCAUGGUCUUAGCUUGCUAAGGCCGAUGGCGACCGGCGCACGGGUGAGUAACACGUAUCCAACCUGCCGUCUACUCUUGGACAGCCUUCUGAAAGGAAGAUUAAUACAAGAUGGCAUCAUGAGUCCGCAUGUUCACAUGAUUAAAGGUAUUCCGGUAGACGAUGGGGAUGCGUUCCAUUAGAUAGUAGGCGGGGUAACGGCCCACCUAGUCUUCGAUGGAUAGGGGUUCUGAGAGGAAGGUCCCCCACAUUGGAACUGAGACACGGUCCAAACUCCUACGGGAGGCAGCAGUGAGGAAUAUUGGUCAAUGGGCGAGAGCCUGAACCAGCCAAGUAGCGUGAAGGAUGACUGCCCUAUGGGUUGUAAACUUCUUUUAUAAAGGAAUAAAGUCGGGUAUGGAUACCCGUUUGCAUGUACUUUAUGAAUAAGGAUCGGCUAACUCCGUGCCAGCAGCCGCGGUAAUACGGAGGAUCCGAGCGUUAUCCGGAUUUAUUGGGUUUAAAGGGAGCGUAGAUGGAUGUUUAAGUCAGUUGUGAAAGUUUGCGGCUCAACCGUAAAAUUGCAGUUGAUACUGGAUAUCUUGAGUGCAGUUGAGGCAGGCGGAAUUCGUGGUGUAGCGGUGAAAUGCUUAGAUAUCACGAAGAACUCCGAUUGCGAAGGCAGCCUGCUAAGCUGCAACUGACAUUGAGGCUCGAAAGUGUGGGUAUCAAACAGGAUUAGAUACCCUGGUAGUCCACACGGUAAACGAUGAAUACUCGCUGUUUGCGAUAUACUGCAAGCGGCCAAGCGAAAGCGUUAAGUAUUCCACCUGGGGAGUACGCCGGCAACGGUGAAACUCAAAGGAAUUGACGGGGGCCCGCACAAGCGGAGGAACAUGUGGUUUAAUUCGAUGAUACGCGAGGAACCUUACCCGGGCUUAAAUUGCAGAUGAAUUACGGUGAAAGCCGUAAGCCGCAAGGCAUCUGUGAAGGUGCUGCAUGGUUGUCGUCAGCUCGUGCCGUGAGGUGUCGGCUUAAGUGCCAUAACGAGCGCAACCCUUGUUGUCAGUUACUAACAGGUUCCGCUGAGGACUCUGACAAGACUGCCAUCGUAAGAUGUGAGGAAGGUGGGGAUGACGUCAAAUCAGCACGGCCCUUACGUCCGGGGCUACACACGUGUUACAAUGGGGGGUACAGAGGGCCGCUACCACGCGAGUGGAUGCCAAUCCCAAAAACCUCUCUCAGUUCGGACUGGAGUCUGCAACCCGACUCCACGAAGCUGGAUUCGCUAGUAAUCGCGCAUCAGCCACGGCGCGGUGAAUACGUUCCCGGGCCUUGUACACACCGCCCGUCAAGCCAUGGGAGCCGGGGGUACCUGAAGUGCGUAACCGCGAGGAGCGCCCUAGGGUAAAACUGGUGACUG
rnacentral:rRNA from 1 species